CUAGCGACUUCAGAGUUUGAUCCUGGCUCAGGAUUAACGCUGGCGGCAUGCCUAAUACAUGCAAGUCGAAUGGUACCUUUCGGGGUGCCAUGGCGAACGGGUGAGUAACACGUAGGUAACCUGCCGUAAAGACGAGGAUAACCAUUGGAAACGAUGGAUAAUACUGGAUAGGACAGUACAAAUCGCAUGAUAAACUGUUUAAAGGAGCAAUCCACUUUGCGAGGGGCCUGCGGCGCAUUAGCUAGUUGGUAGGGUAAAGGCCUACCAAGGCGAUGAUGCGUAGCCGGACUGAGAGGUUGAACGGCCACAAUGGAACUGAGAACGGUCCAU
rnacentral:rRNA from 1 species